CUUCAGAGCCACCAUGUCGAUGUUCUCAUCGGUCCAGCGCCGCUCCUCGUCCUCCACAAGCCUGUCGGGAGAGCAGCGUGAUACCUGACACAAGUGGCCAACAGGGAAAGAGAAAACCAAUGCCUCAGACACAGCUGCAACCCCUUGAGGAGAAUCAAGACUGGGGACAAGGAAGGGGUGGUGGCUGUGGAGGCCACACGCCACAUCGUGUUAGAAGGCACUUGAACUCACCAGUGAACUCGGCGCUUGGACAGGUUAUCACAGGUUUGUGACUAACUUGUGGCGCGUCUGUGUCCAUGUCGACUUCCGACUUAUCUUCAGCUUGUCCAAGAAGCACCUGGGUCCAAG